GUAGGGAAUAUUGCUCAAUGGGCGAAAGCCUGAAGCAGCAACGCCGCGUGUGCGACGAAGGUCUUCGGAUCGUAAAGCACUUUUCGGGGAGAUGAGAAAGGACAGUAUCCCCGGAAUAAGCCUCGGCUAACUACGUGCCAGCAGCCGCGGUAAAACGUAGGAGGCGAGCGUUAUCCGGAUUCACUGGGCGUAAAGCGCGUGCAGGUGGUCUGGCAAGUUGGAUGUGAAAGCUCCCGGCUCAACUGGGAGAGGCCGUUCAAUACUACCGGACUUGAGGUCAGUAGAGGAAGAUGGAAUUCCCGGUGUAGUGGUGAAAUGCGUAGAUAUCGGGAGGAACACCAGUGGCGAAAGCGAUCUUCUGGACUGAUUCUGACACUCAGACGCGAAAGCUAGGGGAGCGAACGGGAUUAGAAACCCCUGUAGUCC
rnacentral:rRNA from 1 species